UUUCUACUGCCAUUCAUCCACUUUUCAAAAUAUAAAUAAACUGUUACUGACUUGAAUUGACAUUAAACUAAGUAAAUCCCUGAAUUCUCAUUUCUUAAAAGUGAACACUUAGGGCUUUGGCUGGGUUUUCUUUAAUUUCUGGAUUUCUAACUUCAUCAUUUCUGUUGUAGGGCCACCAUUCUAUGUCGCUGAUUCAGACGUGAAAAGUUUAUUUGGAAAAGACUGCGACAUUCAUUGUCUUGAAAAAGUCUAUAGUUUGGAAGAGCGACAUAAGAAGUGGGGUUUAGAUUAUUUAUGGGAGGUUUUAUACUUGAUUACAUUGAAAGAACCAAGAUGAUUCCUAGACCUACCCCUCGGAGGAUGAGAAGAACCACUUGGUUGCCAGACACCAUAAUGUUUCUGGACUGAGGAUCGAUCAUUCUUCAGAUACUUUCUUCGAUUAUCAAUAUCUCUGAGAAUAAUUUUCUUGAAAUUUGGAUAUUAGAGUGGAUAAUAAGUGUGUCUUAUAUUUUUCUUAGAUUAAAUACUAUAUUAAAUACUAAUAAUUAUAUAUCAACGUAUAGUGAGAAAUAAUAUAGAGAAUUAAUUUAUUGCUCUACAAAGUGUAUCAUAAGUGUAUAUCUUAUUGAUGAAUUUGGAUCUUUGGGGAAAGGAUUUAGAACGGCGAUUAAGAGGUGAGCAAAAGGUGAUAGGUUGAAUAUUGAAAAGAAAGAAACUAGAGGGAGCAUAAUUAUGGAGAAUUGUGGAUGGAGAGCAAGGUUAAGUACAAAUCAAAAUCUAAAAAUAAUAUUUAAAUUACUGGAUGUUAAUUUGGGAUAACGUUUAUAAAAUUUUGAAAGAACAGAACAAAAUCUUAAAAGAAAUGACAAGUAUCACUACAACAACACUGAAGGCUGG